rnacentral:lncRNA from 1 species
UGGGGUGCUCUGCAGGAGCAGGCUCAUCCAGCUCAGCACACACUGGCAGCACAGCCCAGCUUUGGCUGUGCCCACUGCAAAUGGGUUCCCAGUCUCUUGGCUUUGAGCACUCCUCUCCUGCUCAGCUGCUGCCACCGUGGAGCUGAACUUCCCCUUGCUGCUGCAGCCAGAGCCUGUCACAGUGGCCACCAGGAGCCCUGCUGUGCAGGGUGGGCUCUGUGUGCCCCAGCCACUGUGCCAGCGUGACUUGGUGUGUCCUGGGAGCCUCCACCAGUGCUGGGCUGGCUUAGUUCUGCCCAGGGCCUCUGAUGGCCCAGGGCUGUGCCAGGAGCCCCCAGUGCCACAGGCUCAGCAUCCCAGUCCCCAGAGCCCUUCAUGGUGUCCCCAGUCUGAGCUCUGGGACAGCCACAGGCUCAGCACUGCUGCUGGCUGUCCUGGAGCUGUCCCCAGUCUGAGCUCCGGGACAGUCACAGGCUCAGCACUGCUGCUGGCUGCCCUGGAGCUGUCCCCAGCCUCUGCUCAGCCUGCUCUGCACACAGCCACCGCUUAUUGAUCGCUGUAAAAAUCUUUACAGAUUAACUUCUGGGAACAAAUAUGACAUCUUUAUGGAGAGGCAGAACAAGCUGCUUUAGCAUUCGGGUGGCUGCUCUGCUGCACAGGGACAUCUGUUUGCAGCAGGACAGCAGAGCAGAUGAUCUGUCAGCGCUCAGGGCGCGUCCUGCCAGGCACAGGUAGCCUUGCCAUCCCUGCAGCUGCACCAGCUGCACUCCACCCUUGGUGCUGUGCCAGCUCCUGGUGUGUGCUGUGAAACCAGCCAGGUCUUCACUGUGCUCAGCCUCCAGCAGAAAGCAGAAAGCAGGUAGGGCAGAGGCUUGGAGGGAGCAGCUGGCAGCUGCUGAGUGCAUCCCAGUGCUUGGGUUAACUCCUUUCCACAGGCAGGGAGAGCUUUUCUCGUGGGCACGAUGGCAGAGCCCCCCUGGGGCAGGGGGCUCUGGUUCCCAGGGUACAGGCACCACGGUGCAGGACAGAGGAGUCCCCAGGGUUAUUGUGCUGCAGGAGGAAACCUGCAGCAAAGAAAGAGCUCCUGGUGCAAAGGGCAGCCUGUGCAGGGCAGCACACUGUGUGAGUGAAGGCACCUUUACCCAGAGCACUGAAUCAUCAUUAGGAGUCACUCGAUGAUUUAUGUCAGGAGGAACAAGUCACACACUGGGUCAUGCUGCUCGUUUCACUAGCCAGCAUUUGUGCAUUCCCUCUGGGACAUUUGCCAGGGAUCUCUGAUCCUUCUCCUGCUGUGGAGUUUCUCCCUUUCCCUGGGAUGGCAAUUCCCUGAUUAACACUGUUUGCUUUCAGAAAACUUUCUCCAGUAUUCAGUCUGUGUUUCCCUUAUGUUAAUUUCUUGCCUUUACAGCACCUGAUUAAUAACUCUGUUUAUGCCACUAGAAUAUUUGCAGGUCAUUGCCAUUGAUGCGGAGACACUCAAUAAAAGAGAGAUGUCUGUAGAUCUAAUUGCUUAAUGAAGAGAUGAAGAACAUUCUCUGCUGCCCUGGGUUCUGCAGGGCCAGUAAAUGUUUCUGUGGUCUGAGCGUGCUGCAGUGAUGAUCCCCUGGCUGGCUCCAGCUUUCUGGUCACCCCUGAGUCUCCUGCAGGCUCCUUGUCCCAGGGAGCGCUGCUUCCACGAUGCAAUCCUAAAGCGGGACGGGGUUUCUGUAC